AUUGAACGCUGGCGGCAGGCCUAACACAUGCAAGUAGAGCGAGCGGCGGACGGGCGAGCAAUGUAUGGGGACUGCCCGAUAGAGGGGGAUAACUACUGGAAACGGUAGCUAAUACCGCAUACUAUCGGAUAACCCAUAUGGGAUUAGCUAGUAGGUGAGGUAAUGGCUAACCUGGGCAACGAUCCGUAGCUGGUUUGAGAGGACGACCAGCCACCCUGGGACUGAGACACGGCCCAGACUCCUACGGAGGCAGCAUUGGGGAAUUUUGGACAAGGGGGGAAACCCUGAUCCAGCCAUCCCGCGUGUAUGAUGAAGGCCUUCGGGUUGUAAAGUACUUUUGGCAGAGAAGCGGUAUCUGCAGAAUAAGCACCGGCUAACUACGUGCCAGCCGCCGCGGUAAUAC
rnacentral:rRNA from 1 species